CUUUAAUGAGAGUUUGAUCUUGGCUCAGGACGAACGCUGGCGGCGUGCCUAAUACAUGCAAGUCGAGCGCAGGAAGCAGUUUAGAUCCCUUCGGGGUGACGAGUUGUGGAAUGAGCGGCGGACGGGUGAGUAACACGUGGGCAACCUACCUGUAAGACUGGGAUAACUCCGGGAAACCGGGGCUAAUACCGGAUGAUCCUUUGACUCACAUGGGUUAGAGGUAAAAGGCGGCUUUUAGCUGUCACUUACAGAUGGGCCCGCGGCGCAUUAGCUAGUUGGUGAGGUAACGGCUCACCAAGGCAACGAUGCGUAGCCGACCUGAGAGG
rnacentral:rRNA from 1 species